UACGAGGGGUGCAAGCGUUGCUCGGAAUUAUUGGGCGUAAAGGGUUGGUAGGUGGUCUUAUUUGUCUGAGGUGAAAUCCCGGGGCUUAACCCCGGAAGUGCCUUAGAAACGGUAGGACUAGAGUCCUAGAGGGGUUUGUGGAAUUCCCGGUGUAGCUGUGAAAUGCGUAGAUAUCGAGAGGAACACCUGCGGCGAAGGCGGGUUGCUGGGCUGAUACUGACGCUGAGGCGCGAAAGCCAGGGGAGCGAACGGG
rnacentral:rRNA from 1 species